rnacentral:lncRNA from 1 species
AUCCCAUGACAGGUAGAAUCAGACUACCAGUAGCGACAAUAUUCUGCAUGUCUGUCCAUCCUGCCAGGCACUGUGUCUCAUCCAUCUGCACAGCUGGACCCAGUGGAAGAAGACACCAUGAUCCCUACACUCACAACCCUGCUCUCUCUUGGGACCCUCCCUACCCACCAACUGGGCUGAGCCAGGCUCUGUGACCACCU